rnacentral:rRNA from 1 species
GAUGAACGCUAGCGGGAGGCUUAAUACAUGCAAGUCGAACGGCAGCAUGACACUUCGGUGUUGAUGGCGAGUGGCGCACGGGUGAGUAACGCGUACACAAUCUACCUAUAACAGGGGGAUAGCCUCGGGAAACUGAGAAUAAUACCCCAUAGUAUUACUUUUAUGAUAUAUGAGUAAUUAAAGUUCCGGCGGUUAUAGAUGAGUGUGCGUCCGAUUAGCUAGUUGGUAAGGUAACGGCUUACCAAGGCGACGAUUGGUAGGGGGCGUGAGAGCGUGAUCCCCCACACGGGUACUGAGACACGGACCCG